GUGCGGUGGCGAAACAGCGGUGUCUGCGGGCUCACUGUCAUUCACAAGUGGCUCCAGUCUGGUUUGGGGGUCUACCCUUUCUUAUCAUGUCCUGCCACCCAAUAAAGCCAUUCACAAGUGGCUCCAGCCUGGUUUGGGGGUCUAGCCUUUCUCAUCCUGUCCUGCCACCCAAUAAAGCCAUUCACAAGUGGCUCCAGCCUGGUUUGGGGGUCUAGCCUUUCUCAUCCUGUCCUGCCACCCAAUAAAAAGAGAAAUUACUUAAGGCCUCUGCAACUGCUUUUACCAGAUGCUGUGAGAGAGCUAUGCCCUGUGCCGCGGCUUCUGAUUCAGUACAGCAGUUCAACCAGCCCAGC